GACCGGGAUGGACGUACCGCUGGUGCACCAGUUGUUCCGCCAGGAGCAUGGCUGGGUAGCUACGUACGGACGGGAUAAGCGCUGAAAGCAUCUAAGCGUGAAGCCCCCCUCAAGAUGAGAUUUCCCAGUAUGUAAGACCCCUUGAAGACGACGAGGUAGAUAGGUUGGAGGUGGAAGUGCAGCAAUGCAUGGAGCUGACCAAUACUAAUCGGUCGAGGGCUUAUCCAAAA
rnacentral:rRNA from 1 species